CACACUCUGGAGCACCUGUGUUCUGGUUGAUGUGCUAGACGGAUCUCACCUAUAACUCCGUUAAGAUCUACUCCUCCAGCUUGAGCAUGAAGUACCGGUAGUGUUCUCCUUGGAUCAUAUUCUUGAUAACCUUCUUCAACCUCGCCCACUGGUGCAGUCAUCUGUUAUCAAAAAGUUUAAGUUUGUGUGGUCAAUGAACUCCUUUAAGACCUCCACUUACCAGCAGACCUUGUAUUGUACCUUAUCCACCAUCUGUAUACUCCAUAACCUCUAAUGGACAGACUGAUCCUAGGCUCAGCAAUCAGAUCAAUGAUAGUCUUGUCCCGGAUGCUCCUACCUGACUGCAGAGCAGGAAAUUCUACCCAAGAUAAACUUGCAAAGCAUUAGAGAUCUUUCCUAAUGCUUACGAAUCCCCCGGCCAGUUCAACUUUGUAAGUUUUCAUUUAAUUAUCAACGUAAUCCUGGGCAACAUCAAAAGGCUUAUUUUAUUAUUGAAACAUUUCUUAUACAAAGAUUUUAAGCUAGUAGGAACUGAUCAUUGUUUUCGUUUCAGUUCAGGAAUAGAGCUGUAUGAAUACACCUUUCCUGAAAUACUUGCUUGAAAAGACUGUUUUGUGCAUUAAGGAGUGGUAUUUUAAAUGCUCAUCCAUUAUACUUCAUACUUCCUACCAGCUCCAACUAGUUAGGCCUAGAAGCACAA